CCCCACGAUCUUUCCCUCGCUCGCGCAGCACGCACACACGCCCAACCCGCCCAUGAUCUUUCCCUCGCUAGCUCGCUCCUCCUCCCAACGACCAGAGCACGGCCGGGCCUCCGCCGCCCGCCCAUCCUCGCCCUCCUCCGCUCCCGCUCCACUCAUCCUCCCUCACCGCUCCGCUUGGCCUCCGCUGCCGCCCACCGGUCCUUCCGCCCACUCCUCCCAAUGGGCGCCAGAGCACGGGCGGGCUUCCGCCGCCGCCUGCCGAUCCUCCGCCGCCUCCCGCGCGCCAGCGUUCGCAUACGGAAAGAAUCCACCCAGGUGCCCCAUGUGCUUCCCCGAUCUGAUUGAGUCAACCCCGGCCGCCUCCAGCGCUGCCCACGCUCUGGCGAGCCGCCGCUGACUCCUACGCCCGUGAGCCGCGCCAGCGCCCUCCUCCUCCCUUCUCUCUCUCCUCAUUAAUCUUUAUCCCUCUCCCCGUUCCUGAGCUGUAGGACGCAAUGUACAUGGACCAAGCUCCGCCGGAUCUUCACUGCUGGUGUUCCUCCAGACCAGAUCGACGACGAAAACGGUUGGAUCACCCCCGCAGCCGUUCGUUCCGCCUCGACUAGACGCACCACGCACCACCUCCCAUCCAGCCCCGCCACCCCUCUCUGCCAAGCCCCUCUGCUGGUGGUGGACGGUGACAUCCCACCUUGAGGUGGGAUGACCAAAUCCAGAAUCGCCUUACCUAACGGGGAUGGACUUGAGAUUUGCAUCCAAUCAGCCAAUCAGGCCUCCCUUAUCUCCACUAAGUGCAUCUGAACACAUGACUUCUUGCACAGUAUGUGUUCGACGAUUUUUCUCUGAAGGCACAAGUUGCUGCUAUGUUGAUUCAACCUUUGGAAUGUUCUGUUUGUGGAGCAAGUAGGCGAACCAUUGGAGCGACGUGAUACUCCAUAUUGGCAUAAUCCCACUAAAUAGCAUGGUUAAUGAUUCCAAUUCUAGCAUCUAAUAAUUUUUCCAAUUACUUACAACUAAAUCUUAUUGAUAUAUGGUCAUUUGCUGUAAUGUACAGACCAUUUUUCAUAUAUCAUGACCCUUUUGCAGUGUUUAUUUGGAACACGGGAUUCCUAAUUUUUGGACCUGUACACAACCAGAUUUUGGGGAUUUAUAAUGUGAGUGAGUUAUUAUGUUACUUGAAUUGGUGUACGUAACCUGGUUUUGUUGGGGCUUGGUUUUCAGUGAUUCCAACAGGUCAGUGACUUUCCACGCUCUCAAACAACAACAUUCUUAAUUCAAACGGUGAUGUGAUUUUAUCCAUAUGAAUAUUGUGUUAUCGUUUGUUUUAAUUCGAGUGAUAUUACACAUGUAGCUUGCUGGGUAUAUUUUACAUAUUUACUUUUGGAAAUUUCUUAGAGAUUAUGGAUGACAGCAGACAACAUUGCAGAUACGUUGCAGCUGGGCACCCUGAUCAGGUUUCCUUUUUGGUAAUUUUUGGAGAUCAUAGAUGAUAUUAAUAUCAUAGUUGUACUGCAAUUUGCAAGGUUCCUUGUGUUUGUGUGUACAAACAGAUCGAAUCCAAUUCAAGUGACUUUGAUUAAUUUCCUUUUCAAAGUUAUUGUUGGGCCAGCUAUUGACCUCUAUAAAACAUUUAUUUUCACUUCUCUUUUGCUCCCAGGAAAUCUGGUCCAAGCCCCACUACAGUUUUAUAUAAGGAUGUUGGAGGCAGCAUCGGAAGAGACAAGUCUGCGGCAAAUUUCUCCCUGAUACAGUAAUAGUGUUAUCUAUAGUCUUAGAAAAAAAUUCAACAUUUUCUGUUCUCUGCAAGGUAUGUUUUCUUAGCGUUUUCUAAGCAUUUUCUGGUCAUCAAUUGACUUAUCAUCCUAUCUUUUGUAAACCACGAAAUUUUUAAAGUUCAAAAAGCGUGUACAUCAACUAUUUCACUUCACAGUGAUAAAUGGAUGGAGUGCUUGUGACACAGAAAGCCUCUUUUGUGGAUCUAGCUAAGCCUCUUUUGUGGAUCUAACAACAAAAAUAUGUUUCCAGUAUUUCUUUCGAUAUGGAAACAUUUUUGGAUCGUCACCUAGAAAAUAAAUUGGCACAAGCUUACUGACAUAGAGUUGCAGGUCAGCGCGCACUAAAAAUAUUUAAAUUCAGAUAAAUCUUUCUGAGAUAGUUUGCAGUUCCUAUUUUUCUGGUCAUGCUUUUUUGAAAAUAACUUUUAGUCAUGCUUGCCUUUAUACUGCUUGUUGAAAAUUCAAUUUUACUUUUAGAACAUGAUGAUAAAUCUGAUUCGUACUGGAAUUCACUUUUCUUGAACAGAAAACAGAAGGAUGAGGUUGUAUGUGAUAGAAUAUAUGCCUAGAAAAUGAAAAGGAUAAUAGAUUUCUAAGCACUAGAACUGUCAUACCUUUCCAGGAAGUUACUUCUUGAUGUCAUUCCAGAAAAUAAAAGGAUCAAUAGAAUGUUCUCGAUGAUCAUUUUAGGUGUCCUUUUAGGCAGCAACACCAAGUAGCAGGGCUUCAUCUUAGUACUGAUCAAUAGGAGCAUGUUCGAACUACUUCAUAGGUAAAAAUCAUUUCUUCACGACUUCUCUUAUGCUCCCAGGGAAUCUUGUCCAAACUCCACAUCGCUGUCACCGAACAAAGUUGGAGGUACAAUUGAAAGAGACCAGCCAGAUUCUUGUUCCGGGUAUUAAAAAGAAAACCUGGCUAGAGAUUUCAUGCCAUGUCAUUCCAUUUAUGUUUGCUUGUGUGCUUAUCAUAUCUGAUUACAUGAUUGACAUUUAUUUCAUAAUUAGUAUAUACUUCGACACGUGAUAUGUUUUGCUUUAUUUAUGAACAACAGGAUACGUUUACUUUUUGUGAUCAUAUAAGUGAACAAACAUAGCCAAUGGUUAAAGUUUAUAUCUACUAUGUAUGUAUAUUUUUCAUUCACACAUGUCUCACUGCCUUUUAAGCACUUAAGAGAGCAGAACUGGAGAUUGCUCUCAUUAAAUGUGAACAAAAUUGAUGUUCUUUUUUUUGCAAAAUAGUAAAUACUGUGUUCUCUUGAUUGUUUUUUUGUCUUUUCAGCUUACCUCAAUCUAAGAAGUCCGACCAUCAAUUAAUGAGAGAUUUUUGCUUCUAUCAUUCAUGGAACCAUUGAAAUGAAAUACAUACCUUGGCUCAACCAAUACUUCACAAUCUUUUUGCCCAAAGCAAACAGUAUCAUUAUUUAUAUAUUCUAAAUUAAAAUAUUUUCGCUUGUGUGCUCAAUUAAAAUUUUACCGCUUAAAGGAAAAGAAACCAUUUUUAUCACUCCUACAGUUCACAGGGAGAGAGAACAAGAAAGAAAACCUUUCACCAAAAUCUUGUCUUCCUACUUACUUUUACUUACCAAGAAGAAUCAACAAUAAUUGAAUCUUUUAAGAAAAUGGAUAAAAGAUCAUUUUCAGUUAGUAAUGUACAACUCCCAACUUGUCUCUUUUACUUCUUUUUCUGUGCAUGUGCACCCUGUUGAAUGGUGUUGUACUUGUACAUAAUGGAAUUGCAGGCAAAACAAUGUUAUGGAUGGUCUACAAGAUUAUCUGGAUGAAUUCAUCUCCAGGGUAAAAGAAGCCAGGCAAUGUGCAUGACAUUUGAUUGGAAAUAAUAUUGCCUUGAAAAUGUAUGAGUGCUUUCUUGGCAUCUGACAUUGCAGAAUCAAACAUUGAUGCAUACCUUUGUAAAUUCUCUUGGGGAGAUAAAGUAUAAUUUGCAAGUUGCAACAUUGAUUCCAAAA